rnacentral:lncRNA from 1 species
CCCCCACCCCGGGCGGGAGCCGCGUGACGACCGGGGCCUCGCCGGCGAGGCGAGCUCCGCCCCCCAAGCCCGCAGGGCAGGCGGGAAGGCCGACCGGACCGCGCGGCGGCCUAGGAACCGAAGCCGACGCCCGCCACGCCCGAGGCGCCUCCGGCCCCGGGGGCCCCUGAAGACACGGGGAUGGCGACCCGCGGAGGGGUUCCGUCCUCCCCGGCCGACGCGACGGACUCGAGGGCUCUGCGGGCGCCUCGCCGACCCUCUCCGGGCCGCCACGUCCCGUUUGCACGUCCCUCCCUCCCCCCAGUUCCCGCGAGAAGAGCCGCCGGAAAGAAAGACGGAAAGAAGACGGCACGCCCGCGGGGCUCCAGAGUGGCUCGCACGCCCCGGCCGCCGCUCUGGUCUUUCUCGUGGCUUCCGGGCUCCCCUCCCCCACCCCGCGGAGACGGCUUCUCCGGGCGUCAGGGGUCCGCCCCCUCGAGUCUGCUGGGCGGCGUUUUCCGCGCGCUUCGCCAGAGUUCGCCCGCGCGUCCGGAGCUCGUCAGGGGCCGCUUGGGCCCCCGCCCCGCCCCGGGAUUUGACUGUCGCCGUUGCCCCUCAGCACGCACCGGGCCUCCUGGCCACGCGGCCUCGGUCGGCCGGGGCGCCUGGCGACGCGUGGCGCCCCGCCCGGGGGGGGGGGGUUCCCGAGAUGCUCCCGCCCGGCCGUCGGUUGCCAGAACCGGGCGCGACCGCCGCCCCCUCUUUCUGAAGACCAGCCUGUCACGCUCGCCAAGCGGAGCCCCGUGGCCCCGACGCCAGGCUCCCGAAAUCUAUUUAGCAGAAAGGAACUGCUGCCGGGUUCACCUCUUCUGCCGCCCGGUCUACUUCUCCAACCGUAGGGGGGCAUGUCUUAUCUGUCCUUCCACGGAUCUGCCCUCGGGUACCUGCUUCCCUGCCCAUCUGCUUCAAUACUUCUCCUUCACGGACCUCCCUGGUCCCAGGAGGCACGUUGACUCCUUCUUUUCCACCCGUGCUGACCCCUUGGAUACGGUGACUCAGCUUUUGGAUUGGCCUCUUGCCUUGGCACUUGGCCCCUACACGAUUCAGCUUCCUGUAUCUGCUCCCUGGCCACUCUCCGUCUGCCAAGCAGCUGAGGUCAUUUUCCGCUUGUCACCAUGUAUGGGAAUGGACAGCAAAAGCCGCCAUCCCCCGGUCUGGAAACUUCGGCAUCAUCCGUUUCUUCUGCUCCUCACCCCCCGGCCCUCCAUGCAAGUUCAUUCCACGGCAGCGUGACCUCGA